AGUAACGCGUGGGUAACCUGCCUUAUACAGGGGGAUAACAGUCAGAAAUGGCUGCUAAUACCGCAUAAGCGCACAGAGCUGCAUGGCUCAGUGUGAAAACUCCGGUGGUAUAAGAUGGACCCGCGUUGGAUUAGCUUGUUGGUGGGGUAACGGCCCACCAAGGCGACGAUCCAUAGCCGGCCUGAGAGGGUGAACGGCCACAUUGGGACUGAGACACGGCCCAG
rnacentral:rRNA from 1 species